CCCCCUCCCGCCCGGCUCUGGAAGGGAGAAAGGGGUAAAAUCUUACCUUUUUCCAGCGCUGGGCGGAGAGCUCUCCUCCUUCUCUCCUCCUCCGUUCCGCCCCGUCGGCUGAAUGCGCACGCGCGGCAAGAGCUGCGCGCGCAUUCAGCCAGUCGCCUAGGAAAGCAUUCAUAAUCCACUAGAGGAAAUAGGGGAAGGCUUAACCCAUUAAUAAACAUAGCAGUUUCUCUGAAACUGCUAUGUUUAUAAAAAAAAUGGGUUAACCCUAGAAGGAC